UCAGACACGGUGUGUGUGCUCCUUCUCCCUCAGACAUGGUGUGUGUGCUCCUUCUCCCUCAGACAUGUGUGUGCUCCUUCUCCCUCAGACACGGUGUGUGUGCUCCUUCUCCCUCAGACAUGGUGUGUGUGUGUGUGUGCUCCUUCUCCCUCAGACAUGGUGUGUGUGCUCCUUCUCCCUCAGACAUGUGUGUGCUCCUUCUCCCUCAGAUAUGUGUGUGCUCCUUUCCCAGCCCAUCCCAGCUGUCCCUCAUUACAUGCUCCGCCUGAGCCCCACGCAGGGUCGGGUUGCGCUGAGGCAAAGGUCAGAGGAACCUCCAGCCUGCAUUUUGCCAUUGCUUGAUUAUUCAGAUAACAAACAACCCAAAGACUGACGGGGCUUCUCUGUGCCCACAGACAGGGUGCGAUCACUGUAGUAAAAGAAAAAGGCAAUUUCUAAUUCCUCCUUGCUUCCUUCUAUCCUGAAUCUCUCAAAAAUAAUUCAGUGAGCAGAUGGUGUUUGUGGAGCUGGUGCUUGGCCACAGACUCCUUGCUAUGCCACGUCCUGCUUUUAAUAUACUGCCCAGCAUUAAUCAAGCAGUUUAGAAGCAUCCUGUAUCAGUUGCGCAAAACAGGGCUGAAAUGAUUUACUGUCGGAUUCUUUCAGCUCCUGUUAGGCUCCUGUUUUUCUUUCAUGUGGGGAGCAGGGGUCAGUGGCGGCGGGAGAUCCGUGCUUUCACUCGGCCAACAUUUGCUGCUGUCAUUCCGAGCCCGCUCCGGUCCCCGCCAAGCGACGGAUGUGUUCAUGCUCCCAGCCCUGGAUGCUAAUUGAUUUUAGGGAGCCCAUUCAUCAGUUAAAUUUAGUAGAUCACCCACCAGGUUUGCUGUUCACUGUCAAAGGUAAUUCAAUUAAAACUCCACAAGUGUGACUAACCAGUGGAUGGUAAAUAUGUUCACCAGCUGUGUUUGCUGGGCCUUCUCCACCCUAUUGUGUCUGUGCCUGGCAGAGGAUGUGCUCAAGCCCUAUACCUUGGCUGAUUAAUAUAUACAACAAAACUGCAGCACUGCCAAAAAAUUAAGCACAAAUGCCACCUUUGGGAUUUGAAUGACUGAAUAUAAGAGCUUCAGAGAAGAGAAAUCCUCAUGUGUGUUCAAGGUAGCAGUGCUAGAGUGGUUGAAUUAACUCAGGUCUUGGGGUUUUUAAAACACCUUCCAAGGAAUCCAAUUAGUUUUUCUGGUUUUGAAAAUAAUUUCCAAAGAAUCCAAUUUGGCUUUUAAAAUCCAUUGACAGUUUGGUUUCUCCUCAUUCACUCCCACUUUGUCCUCAGCCAGAGUUGAUGUGAAGCCAUCCAGUAUGGUUAUUUCCAUCACCAAAGCCAUGUAUAAAUCAGGGAUGCAUCACAGGAGCUCAUGGAAAGAUGUUUCUAUUAAACCCUGAGGUGGGGGAACCUUGCUGGACCCUCCUGCCUGACCAGCUGAGAUUUGAGUCUCCUGCCUGCUGCCAUCGGGCGCUCAGAUGUGGUUUGGUAGUAAUUAAGUGCAUCGUUAACGAUCCCAUUGCAAACCACGGGACAAAAUGGUGUGUCUGCUUAAUAGAUUAAAGGAAAACAUUCUCUGAAAAGCACAGGUAAACAAGACACUCAUCCCUCAACCUUUCACCCUGGAAGACCAAGGUUCACAUCCCACUGGAGCACAAAUAAAUAGGGACUGGACUCCCCUAGCUCA
ensembl:lncRNA